GGCCGGUAGAGUGGGCCCGUCGUCAUCAUGCGCGUACGAGGGGAAGCCGGUGCGAAUCCGGCGCUGACCCGCAGCCGUGAAACCGCACGUGGGUGCGGCAAGCCGGAAUGCCUCGGGCGCCGCAUGACCGG
rnacentral:ncRNA from 2 species